UACGUAGGGAGCAAGCGUUGUCCGGAAUCAUUGGGCGUAAAGAGCGCGUAGGCGGCCGUGUAAGUCCGCUCUGAAAGUCGGAGGCUCAACCUCCGAAAGCGGGUGGAUACUGCACGGCUAGAGUCCGGAAGAGGCGAGUGGAAUUCCUGGUGUAGCGGUGGAAUGCGCAGAUAUCAGGAGGAACACCAACGGCGAAGGCAGCACGCUGGGACGGUACUGACGCUGAGGCGCGAAAGCGUGGGGAGCAAACAGG
rnacentral:rRNA from 1 species